ensembl:lncRNA
CGGAAGCGGGAGGGCCCGCCCCUUCCGGCACCGUGGGCGCAGCCCUGAGAUGCCCGUGCUGUGGCCCGGAGAGGCUCGUGCUGGGCUUCUGGCCUCGGGGCCGUCAGAGGACCUGUGAGGAGAGGAGGCCACUGCACUUUCGCCGUCUCGGGCCCUGGGUGCCCCGUGUGCUCCGCCAGGGAACCCGUUAGAGACGCAGGCCCCUGUGUCGGCGCCAGCUGGGUCGAGGCCGGGCGUGCGUGUAAGAGCAGAGCUGGCCCUGCCCGCCCCGGGCCAGGCGAGCAGGGCGGGGAGGAGCGGAGGCAGGAGGACCCGGCUCAGCUCGUCUCCCCCUGAGCCGCGACGCUCCUUCACCCUGGAGCCUCCUCGGACGUCCUAGGAGACCACGAGAGAGGCUCUCUUGAAGAUGACAGCCCGGCUACUAAAGAGUGUGCCUCCUGCAUGUUCAUCUGGUGAUUCCUCACAGCACAUUCAGGCUGCGUGGAGCAGGGCCGGGUCUCAUCACACCACCUCUCCCAGGAGUCACCUUUGGGCAGCCCCGUGACUGCUGUCUGUUAUCAUUAACCACUUAGGAUGACACCUCCCAGGCAUGUCCGUUUCAUGUUCCUCUCUUCUCCUUUUUGGUAUUUUGCAUAUAAAUACUCUGAAAUUAGGAGGGAGACAAGCACACAGAGGUGUGUCUCAGAGCUUGUCUCUAGCCACACGGAGUUAAAGUUGCAUCUUGAGGCCCACUCUGCUUCCUUCUUAGUGACGACCCUCCAUCAGAUCCACGAGGGAGCCGAGUGUAACACGCACAUGCUCCUGCGUGCCUCGGAAGGACAUACGCGUCCUGCCCACCCCAGACCUCCCCGGGAUGGCCACUGCCCACCAUUUCAGGGCCACCUGGGGGUUUUCCUGCCUGUUUCUAAACAGUCUCCUUGAGGAGCUGUUUCGCCUGCACUUACUAUGUACCAGGAGGUCUUGGAAGCGCUCUUUUCGCCGUUUAACUCCUGAUUUUCUCAGUAACCCAAGGAAGCAGGUACUAUCUGUGAACCCAUGAAAAAACAGACCCAGAGGAGUUAAGGCAUUGGUGCAGACACAGCAAGGAAGCGGCAGGGCUGGGCCUCGACCCAGGGCUGCCGUGUGGCUGGAGCGGCAGCUCUGUCCCCUGCGCACUGGCUUCCUGUCCUGGAGGAUCAGGCUUACCCGCUCGUAGCCUCUGUGCCCCUCCUCCCAGCACCCUGUCUGCAUCACUGAUGCCCGUGUUCUCCUGUGCCCUCUGCCUCUCUCUCUCUCACCAUCCUGACUCACCCGGUGGGUGUUGCAGCGUGAACUUCCCAGGAACGAGGCUGCCCCGACUUGCCAGUGCUGUUCCAGCCCCUGCACAUCAGAAACACUCUGUAUUCCAGUUUUCCCAGUCAGCCCCAAAAUGCCUUUCACGUACCCUUUCAAUCCAGAAACCCUUGAGGAUCGUGUUAUGGCUGUUCUAACACCUCUCUCAUUUCCAUUAGUCUCGAGCCGCUUUUCCCCUCCCCUCACGACAUGGACACCACACAGUCCAGCUGAGCUGUCUUGAGUGGUGUCCACGGCCUGGACUGCGUGCUGGUUUCCUCAGGAUUCAGUUCAGGUCGAACGUUUCGGCGGGAGGGCUGCACAGAUGAUCUGUGUCCCUCCUGUCUUUUUGCAUUGUCUAGCUCUAAUCACUUGGCUGAGAUGACUACCAGGCUUGCCCAGCAUAAGCUGCGUGCCCCUUUCUGAAAAUGAUAAGAAAUCUGUGGGGUGAGACACUGAAG